GAGUGAACGCUGGCGGUAGGCCUACCCCAUGCAAGUCGAACGGCAGCACAGUAAGAGCUUGCUCUUACGGGUGGCGAGUGGCGGACGGGUGAGGAAUACAUCGGAAUCUACUUUUUCGUGGGGGAUAACGUAGGGAAACUUACGCUAAUACCGCAUACGACCUACGGGUGAAAGCAGGGGAUCUUCGGACCUUGCGCGAUUGAAUGAGCCGAUGUCGGAUUAGCUAGUUGGCGGGGUAAAGGCCCACCAAGGCGACGAUCCGUAGCUGGUCUGAGAGGAUGAUCAGCCACACUGGAACUGAGACACGGUCCAGACUCCUACGGGAGGCAGCAGUGGGGAAUAUUGGACAAAGGGCGCAAGCCUGAUCCAGCCAUACCGCGUGGGUGAAGAAGGCCUUCGGGUUGUAAAGCCCUUUUGUUGGGAAAGAAAAGCAGCAGGUUAAUACCCCGCUGUUCUGACGGUACCCAAAGAAUAAGCACCGGCUAACUUCGUG
rnacentral:rRNA from 1 species